CGAGGGGCAGCGGGGGUGCAGGCUUGCCUGCACCUGCCGGCGACCGGCGCACGGGUGAGUAACACGUAUGGAACCUGCCCGCCACAGGGGGAUAACCCGGGGAAACCCGGCCUAAUACCCCAUGCCGCCCGGACCGGGCAUCCGGACCGGGCGAAAGGAGGAAUCCGAUGGCGGCUGGGCAUGCGGCGCAUUAGCUUGACGGCGGGGUAACGGCCCACCGUGGCGACGAUGCGUAGGGGUUCUGAGAGGAAGGCCCCCCACACUGGAACUGAGACACGGUCCAGACUCCUACGGGAGGCAGCAGUGAGGAAUAUUGGUCAAUGGGCGGAAGCCUGAACCAGCCAAGUCGCGUGAGGGAAUAAGGCCCUACGGGUCGUAAACCUCUUUUGCCGGGGAGCAAGGGCCGGGACGAGUCCCGGCCCGGAGAGUACCCGGAGAAAAAGCAUCGGCUAACUCCGUGCCAGCAGCCGCGGUAAUACGGAGGAUGCGAGCGUUAUCCGGAUUUAUUGGGUUUAAAGGGUGCGUAGGCGGGCUUUUAAGUCAGCGGUAAAAAUUCGGGGCUCAACCCCGUCCGGCCGUUGAAACUGGGGGCCUUGAGUGGGCGAGAAGAAGGCGGAAUGCGUGGUGUAGCGGUGAAAUGCAUAGAUAUCACGCAGAACCCCGAUUGCGAAGGCAGCCUUCCGGCGCCCUACUGACGCUGAGGCACGAAAGUGCGGGGAUCGAACAGGAUUAGAUACCCUGGUAGUCCGCACAGUAAACGAUGGAUGCCAGCUGUC
rnacentral:rRNA from 1 species